GCCGGGUGUGGUGGCGGGCGCCUGUAGUCCCAGCUACUUGGGAGGCUGAGGCAGGAGCAUUGCUUGAACCCAGGAGGUGGAGGCUGCAGUGAGCCGAGAUCACGCCACUGCACUCCAGCCUGGGCAACAGAGCAAGACUCCGUCUCAA
rnacentral:SRP_RNA from 1 species